AUGGAGGCUCCCCAAGCGGAGGGGUCUCCUCAGGAGGAGGGGGGCGCUUGGCUCUGGUGGGAAAGCCUUCCCGCUCCCCUUAGCUACUUAGUUACCACCACCCUUGAUUACUUUUGGUCCUUUGUCAACCCUCCCUUGGGAUCGUGGUCUCCCGCCCAGAUUGCAAGUCCAUCCUCACCUCCUGCGGCCCAGGCCCAAGCGAUGCAAGAAAAUGAGCCACUGAAUGAGGAGAAUCCGCAGAUAAAUGAACAGCUCCAGGAAGCAGAGACAGAGAAGACAGAGUGGGUUAAGGUGCUGAAAGGCAGAGCGGCUGCACCAGCUGGAAGCAGAGCUGGCCCAGGUCGAGGAGGAGAAUCAGCGCCUGGAGCAAGAGCUGCAAAGAAGCCAAGAUGGGGUCUUCUGUGGUUUAAAAGAGGGCUCUCCGUCCAGGUCCGUGUCACUGGGAAGACUGGUGGCUGUGAAAACCAGUUCUUAAAGAAAGUCUCUGACCACCUUUCCACUCAACGUAUCCGCCUCAAGCCGGAGAGGUACCGAGAGGACUCCGGCCACUUCCUGCUGGUCUUCUGCCCGGUGGCUACCUCGGUGGGCAGUGACAUGGCCAACGCUCUCGAGGGUCUCGGCAAACAUGGUCCAUCUACAAAUGUCACUCUCAAAGUCUGCAACAAUGGUAUCAGCGCUACCUUUGAAAAACCCUGCAAAUCUCUUGGAAAGACAGGCAGACAAACAUCUGUGCUCUGGAAGAAGAAGCCAAGACCACCAGCAUUGAAGUCAUGAUCCUCAGCCAUGUUGUUCGAAGGCCCAGAGAUCACCAUUGUCUCCCAAAGUAGCGACUUUACUCUCAGCUCCAGAACAGAGAAAAGGAUGUCAGUGGACAGUGAAAGGGAUGGAGAGGGAGCCCUGCUGAUGCCACUCCACUCCUCACUUCUUUCCAGGAAGUUCGUUCCUGGAUUCGUUCCUGUGCUGGUACGGCUGUACUAGAAGCUCCAACUUUAUUUUCUUUUUGCUAAUGUUUGCAGUCAUAGGGCAGGCCGCCUGUCCAUCAUCAUUAAGUUUGGUUCCGCCCCUUGUUCAAGGCUCUGGGAGGGAAGGAGCCAUUUUUAAGUCAGUCUCACUUAAGGAAGCUCAGCUAUAGGAUGUAGACCAGCUCAUCCCGUAGAAAAGGUUCAUAUCUCAAGAACAUCCAGGGAUAUAGAACAUCCGAGGAAUCAGAAACAGAAAUUCCAGGGGAAGGGUCCCAAAGGUUCUGACUAAGAGCUCACAGCCUCUCAGCCUCACAGCUCCUGAGGGAAACAGCCCUAAAGUUUCCAAAGAAACCUCGGAGAGAGAACAGCAUCACAGAUCCACAGAACCCCAGCUGAAACAUCUGCAAGCCUUGGUUGGUAGGUCCACUCGAUACCCAGACGCAUUUGGAAUCGGCAGUGGGUCCCACAUCAGUUAGUGUGAUGUCUCAUGGGCCUUGUAGUCCCGUUCCUAGUGCUAUUGUGGCAGAUGAGGAGGAAAAUUUGGGAUUUCCACCGGUUCAGCUUGAAUCGGAGCCUCGCCACCUGGAGGAUGUUUGUCCUCAGGAAGUUAACCAAACAAGCCUUGGGCAGAAUUCUCCCCCGUUUUCCCGAAAGGACAAUUAUAAUAGAGAUAGAGGAGCGAGGGAGGCUAAUCGCCGGAGCCUCAGAAUCGCUGCCAGACAAUUAGCUGAUUAAGUCUGCUUCCCUUGGGAAAUUCUAAGGAGUCAUGCAUCUGGACACAGUUUGGGUUUCACUUCUUGUUCUCCAGGGAAAGUGUUCUAUUGGCGGGAAAACAAGAUCCUAUAUAGGGGUUUUGCCGCAAGGGGAACCUUGCGGAGUCAAUUUGUUCAGCUUGAGGAGAGAGAUCGUGUGUGGACUACGUACCCCAGUUCCCUGUUUCCUGGAUUGAGUUUUCAGCCUUGUCUUGUUUCACGGAUCAAGUUUCCAGCCUAGCCUUGUUUCACGGACUUCUAUGGACUCAGUUCAUGUUUCAUGUUUGCCUUGUUUCAAGUUUUGUUUUAGCCAAGAAUCAAGUCUAUUUUCCAGCCUUGUUGUCAAGCUACUUUGGAUUUUAAGGACCCUGUCAUUCCCCACACUUUGCUUGGCAAAGUGUGUGUUUCGGUCAAGUGGAUUAUAACUUUGGACUUUAAUAUCACAUAUUGGACAUUGUUUUCCUGGACUAUAUUUGACCUCAUCAGAAAGGUCUGCUUCUGAACUAUAUUCUUCACUUGUUUUUAUUGACUUUAUAUAUUUCUUUAAUAAAGAUAUUAGAUAGAUUCUGGUCUCUGCGCAUGGUUAUUGGUGCUCUGCAGCCUGGGUCCUGACAGUUAGGCCCAUAUAACAGACAGCCUGGGAGAGGUUAUAAGGGGGUUUCCUUCUUAUAGAGAAAGCACUGUUAUCCAAGGCCAAUUGUCUGUCCCCUGGGGACAAGAUUGAAAAGUCAACAGUUUAUUAAGGAAACCUUGAAAUGUUAUUUGACUCCUUGAAGAUUUAUUAUUUGUUCAACAAUAAAGACUUCGUUAUCUUAUUAAAGACUCAAAGGACUAUCCUUUUCAGGAAAAUCCUCAAGAAUCUUUCUUUUGAGGCGCCCUGGCUUCCCGCUGGGCAUAAAGUAUACGUCCUAUACAAAGGCAAUAGCUACAGGCCCAGCGCGUGACAGAACAGUUCCCUUGGCCAAUUACAGACCCCCCUCACCAUCGUUUUCCCGAGCCCAGUGUGGAUGCAGCCUUGGGGUCUUCUUCAGGGAACCAAAGGGCUCUGGAGCAGAGGCACGCACAGAUCACCAAAGCCCUUGGUCACUCUGCAUGUGCUCAGGAACCUUUCUCUACCGGGGGAAGGAGGGAUGCUGGGGAACUUCAAGGAGAAGGGAACUCUCAGCUGCCCAGAGGCUUGGGGGGGGGGGGGGGGGGAGGGGCGGGGUUUUCGUGAAGCGGGCGGGGCGGGGGAGGGCCGAGUCCUUCCCUCCUCUUUCUCUUUCUCUUUCACUUUCCUCCGUUUUCUCCCCCGGCAGCCAUGGAGGCUCCCCAAGCGGAGGGGUCUCCUCAGGAGGAGGGGGGCGCUUGGCUCUGGCGGGAAAGCCUUCUCACUCUCCUUAGUUACUUAGUUACCACCACCCUUGAUUACAUUUGGUCCUUUGUCAACUCGCCCUUGGGAUCGUGGUCUCCCGCCCAG
rnacentral:lncRNA from 11 species